rnacentral:misc_RNA from 1 species
GAACGCAUCUUGCGCUCUCUGGUAUUCCGGAGAGCAUGCUUGUUUGAGUAUCAGUAAACACCUCAACUUCCAUAUCUUUUUUGAAAUGGGAGUUGGACUUGAGUGAUCCCAACGCUUUUCCUCACCGAAAAGUGGCGGGUUACUUGAAAUGCAGGUGCAGCUGGACUUUUCUCUGAGCUAUAAGCAUAUCUAUUUAGUCUGCCUAAAAAACAGAUUAUUACCUUUGCUGCAGCUAACAUAAAGGAGAGUAGUUCUUGUGCUGACUGAUGCAGGAUUCACAAAGACAGCUUCGGCCGACUUUGUAAACUCGAUCUCAAAUCAAGUAAGACUACCCGCUGAACUUAAG